rnacentral:rRNA from 1 species
CUCUUCUCGUUAGUUUUUGAAGUAUGGCCUGCCCACUGACCUUGAAUGUUGAAGGGCCGCGGUAUUUUGACCGUGCAAAGGUAGCAUAGUCAUUAGUUCUUUAAUUGUGAUCUGGUAUGAAUGGCUUGACGAGGCAUAAGCUGUCUUAAUUUUGAAUUGUUUAUUGAAUUUGGUCUUUGAGUUAAAAUUCUUAGAUGUUUUUAUGGGACGAGAAGACCCUAUAGAGUUUGACAUUUAUUAUGGUCUCUUUCUGUUUGUGAGGGUUCACUAGGGCUGUUUAAUAUGUUUUGUUGGGGUGAUGGGAGGGAUAUUAUUUAACCCCUCCUUUGUGUUGUUAUAUUUAUUUAUAUUUGCUUGAUCCAUUUAUUUUGAUUGUAAGAUUAAAUUACCUUAGGGAUAACAGCGUUAUCUCCCUUGAGAGUUCUUAUCGGCAGGGGGGUUUGCGACCUCGAUGUUGGAUUAAGGUUUAUUUUCGGUGUAGGGGCUGGAAAGUUAUAUUGGGUCUGUUCGACCUUUAAAAUCUUACA